UUUGAUCAUAAUUUGAAGUCUGACCUGCCCACUGACGUUUUAGAGUUGAAGGGCCGCAGUAUUUUGACUGUGCAAAGGUAGCAUAAUCAUUAGUCUUUUAAUUGGAGACUGGAAUGAAUGGUUUAACGAAGUAUACACUGUCUCGUAAUAAUAAAGUAGAAUUUAACUUUUGAGUUAAAAGGCUUAAAUUAAAUUGGAGGACGAGAAGACCCUAUAGAGCUUUAUAAUUUGAAUUUGAUUUUUUUUUGAAUAAUAAGAGAUUAUAUGAAAGAUUAUUUAAUUGGGGUGAUGUGAAGAUUGGUAUAACUCUUUGUUUAUAAGCCGUUGAUGUACGAUUAGUUUGAUCCAUUAUUAGUGAUUAUAAGAUUUAGUUACCUUAGGGAUAACAGCGUGAUUUUUUUUGAGAGCUCUAAUCGACAAGGAAGAUUGCGACCUCGAUGUUGGAUUAAGGAAUAAAAUUGGGUGUAGAAG
rnacentral:rRNA from 1 species